CUAAAAAGGAGGAAGGAAAAAGGGAAAAGAAGAAAAAAAUUAAAGGUUUAAUCUUCCUGGAAGUUUUACAGUCCUCCCAGAUCUCCUGAGAAACACCUUAUCUGAACUCUGAACAGGUUUGAUCUUAGUUUCAUCCUUCUGCUGUUUUCUGCUGUUAGCGGCACCUCCCUCUCUUAAUACUGUUGAAGAUCUUGAAGCCAUGUCCUGAAGCACAGUGCCCCAACGAUUCCAUUCUUCCCGCUCUGUGCUUAACGCUCUGACUUUGUCCAUUUCUUUCAGUGGAGGACCUCAGCAUAUCCUAACUGGCUAACGCAGACAUGGCGAACAAGGCUUAAUUGUACCCUUUGUGAACCCCAGAAAGAUUUAUUUUCUUCUGGAGAGCUGCAAAGUGGAGGUUUUCAACAUUGUUAUCUAGUCAAAUAUUUUCUAAGCAAGCUUCCAUGUAUAUGUUAAAAAACAAUGUUAUUCUCUGUAUUUAUUUAUUUAACUAAAAUAUGUAUGGCAUAUGUAUAAAAUAUGUAUGGCAUUCUUGCAUAUAAAAGUUUUGUAUGUUUUACUGU